rnacentral:rRNA from 1 species
AGAGUUUGAUCAUGGCUCAGAUUGAACGCUGGCGGCAGGCCUAACACAUGCAAGUCGAGCGGUAGAGAGAAGCUUGCUUCUCUUGAGAGCGGCGGACGGGUGAGUAAUGCCUAGGAAUCUGCCUGGUAGUGGGGGGAUAACGCUCGGAAACGGACGCUAAUACCGCAUACGUCCUACGGGAGAAAGCAGGGGACCUUCGGGCCUUGCGCUAUCAGAUGAGCCUAGGUCGGAUUAGCUAGUUGGUGAGGUAAUGGCUCACCAAGGCGACGAUCCGUAACUGGUCUGAGAGGAUGAUCAGUCACACUGGAACUGAGACACGGUCCAGACUCCUACGGGAGGCAGCAGUGGGGAAUAUUGGACAAUGGGCGAAAGCCUGAUCCAGCCAUGCCGCGUGUGUGAAGAAGGUCUUCGGAUUGUAAAGCACUUUAAGUUGGGAGGAAGGGCAGUUACCUAAUACGUAUCUGUUUUGACGUUACCGACAGAAUAAGCACCGGCUAACUCUGUGCCAGCAGCCGCGGUAAUACAGAGGGUGCAAGCGUUAAUCGGAAUUACUGGGCGUAAAGCGCGCGUAGGUGGUUUGUUAAGUUGGAUGUGAAAUCCCCGGGCUCAACCUGGGAACUGCAUUCAAAACUGACAAGCUAGAGUAUGGUAGAGGGUGGUGGAAUUUCCUGUGUAGCGGUGAAAUGCGUAGAUAUAGGAAGGAACACCAGUGGCGAAGGCGGCUACCUGGACAAAUACUGACGCUGAGGCGCGAGAGCGUGGGGAGCAAACAGGAUUAGAUACCCUAGUAGUCC